CAGUGGCGGGUGCUAUAAUGCAAGUCGAGCGAAGAGAUGGGAGCUUGCUCCCUGAUCUUAGCGGCGGACGGGUGAGUAACACGUGGGCAACCUGCCCUGCAGACUGGGAUAACUCCGGGAAACCGGAGCUAAUACCGGGUAAUACAUCGCACCGCAUGGUGCAAUGUUGAAAGUUGGCUUUCUGAGCUAACACUGCAGGAUGGGCCCGCGGCGCAUUAGCUAGUUGGUAAGGUAAUGGCUUACCAAGGCGACGAUGCGUAGCCGACCUGAGAGGGUGAUCGGCCACACUGGGACUGAGACACGGCCCAGACUCCUACGGGAGGCAGCAGUAGGGAAUCUUCCGCAAUGGACGAAAGUCUGACGGAGCAACGCCGCGUGAGUGACGAAGGCCUUCGGGUCGUAAAGCUCUGUUGUUAGGGAAGAACAAGUACCGUUCGAAUAGGGCGGUACCUUGACGGUACCUAACCAGAAAGCCACGGCUAACUACGUGCCAGCAGCCGCGGUAAUACGUAGGUGGCAAGCGUUGUCCGGAAUUAUUGGGCGUAAAGCGCGCGCAGGCGGUCUUUUAAGUCUGAUGUGAAAGCCCACGGCUCAACCGUGGAGGGUCAUUGGAAACUGGAGGACUUGAGUGCAGAAGAGGAGAGUGGAAUUCCACGUGUAGCGGUGAAAUGCGUAGAUAUGUGGAGGAACACCAGUGGCGAAGGCGGCUCUCUGGUCUGUAACUGACGCUGAGGCGCGAAAGCGUGGGGAGCAAACAGGAUUAGAUACCCUGGUAGUCCACGCCGUAAACGAUGAGUGCUAGGUGUUGGGGGGUUCCACCCUCAGUGCUGAAGUUAACACAUUAAGCACUCCGCCUGGGGAGUACGACCGCAAGGUUGAAACUCAAAGGAAUUGACGGGGGCCCGCACAAGCAGUGGAGCAUGUGGUUUAAUUCGAAGCAACGCGAGAACCUUACCAGGUCUUGACAUCCUCUGACAUCCUGGAGACAGGACGUUCCCCUUCGGGGGACAGAGUGACAGGUGGUGCAUGGAUUGUCGUCAGCUCGUGUCGUGAGAUGUUGGGUAAGUCCCGCAACGAGCGCAAACCCUUGAUCUUAGUUGCCAGCAUUCAGUUGGCACCUCC
rnacentral:rRNA from 1 species